GAUGAACGCUAGCUACAGGCUUAACACAUGCAAGUCGAGGGGCAGCAGGGAUUUACUUCGGUAAAUUCGCUGGCGACCGGCGCACGGGUGCGUAACGCGUAUCCAACCUUCCCGUUACUCUGGGAUAGCCUUCCGAAAGGGAGAUUAAUACCGGAUGGUGUUCAAAUGUCGCAUGUUAUUUGAACUAAAGAUUUAUCGGUAACGGAUGGGGAUGCGUGACAUUAGAUAGUAGGCGGGGUAACGGCCCACCUAGUCUACGAUGUCUAGGGGUUCUGAGAGGAAGAUCCCCCACACUGGAACUGAGACACGGUCCAGACUCCUACGGGAGGCAGCAGUGAGGAAUAUUGGUCAAUGGGUCGGAAGACUGAACCAGCCAAGUAGCGUGAAGGAUGAAGGUUCUAUGGAUUGUAAAACUUCUUUUAAUACGGGAAUAAAACCACCUACGUGUAGGUGCUUGUAUGUACCGUAUGAAUAAGCAUCGGCUAACUCCGUGCCAGCAGCCGCGGU
rnacentral:rRNA from 1 species